CCCAGGUUAAGGCCAUGUCGACAUGCUGUGUCAGCCUCACCAAAGGUUUCCUCAUUGUCUUCUUUGACUAUCACGAAUGCAGGUAUGGGCCUAUUCAAUGGCCUUAUCUGGGGUCCUCACAGGGCUGGUGACCCUCCUCGGCUGCCUUGGAGCCCUCUGGUGAGUACUCCUCAAAUACUCCCUGGUACCCCCAAUGCCUGGAGAUGCCCCCAAAAGGCCUCUGAGAUCCUCCCCUUUGGAUUGCUCCAAAUCCCCCAUGUCCUCAUGAUGUCUCCUUAGGGACCUUCCAACCUCCAGAGCAACUCCUAGAUGGAGGCCCUAACUCUG